UUGAUUUUAAUUACAUUGAUUGAUAGAUUUCAUUUUGUAAUCCAAUACGAUUUCCUUACUCAUUAGCCAAAGCAAAAUUUACGAUUUGUCCAUAAAAAAUCUCAUAAAUUCCAACAGCAAAUAUCAGUUGUGAAUUUGGCUAAGCAAAUACUGCAUAUAUUCAAUAGUUGAAGGAAGUCAGACGGAUAUCCCUUGGGAGCUGGGUCGGUUCUGACUUUCUGAUGUCUGGAGGGAAAUGCAAUUGUAUGCGGUGUCAAAAGUCGCACAGCAAUCCAUCAAUUUAACAGCCAUGGAAAAUCAAGAGACGCGAGCACAAAGCGUAAAGCAGCCAAAUCGUAAAAUAAAUUGUAGAAAAUAUAUCAAGCAAAGGACAUUAGGGACACAGUCGUUGCCCUAGGGUGGCUACACUCUGCAGGCAUCAAAUGAUUUCUUUCCCUGCCACAUUUCUAUUCUUUAGCAGCGACAAUGAAACACAAAACUCAUGUUGCAAUUGAAAACACGGGAUGUUGCCGGGGCUCUUUGUGGCAUGUUUGCGCAAUGUUAACAGUGCUGUGCAAACUUUCAGUUGAACUGACGCGCAGAGACGACGGUCCAGCAGCUGCCAAGAAGUCAACAUGCUGCGCCCCAAUCUCUAAGCGCAACGCGUGCCAUAUGUCAAACUAACUAAAAUAAAGCAACACAAAAAAAAAAAAA